AUUAAGUAGAAUUUACUGGCGACUGGGUCCUAAAGUGAACACAAAAAGAUAAUGAACCUCUUUCUCCUGUUGAUAGAGGUUAUUCUUUUGGCUGUUUGCAUUGAAGGACAGUUCAGCGACGAUAAUGAUAACGAUAGCAACGAAAAUGGGAUAUGGCAAAGUGGGCGUACAUUCUCCAGGAGACCUACAUUCAGACGUCAAACAUUCAGGAGAUCUGAUGAUGACGAUGAUAAUGACAGAAGAAGACGUUUAAUUCUUCAACGAAACAGUUUAAGAAACAGAAUAUUAUUGAGACAAAGACUAAUUCGACAACGCCAACGUUCAAGAAAUAACGACAACGACAGUAACGAAAACAGAUGGCAAAGAAGGAGGGUAUUCCGAAGGCGACCAUCCUUUAAUACUGUUCGAAGUCGAAGGUUCUUCAGAAGACCAACAUUUCGUCGGCAACGUUUAGUAAGACGUGGGAGGAGGUUUUGAAACGAAAUGUCACAUCUACUUAAUGUCAGCUAGUAUUUAAACAGUCAUGUCGAUUUUCAAUUAUAUUUUUCCAAAAUGAAAGUUUACGUAUAUGUAAUUUUCGGUACAUUUUGUAACAGGAAAUAAAAGAUUUUUUCUUAA